rnacentral:rRNA from 1 species
CCUACGGGGUGCAGCAGUCGAGAAUCAUUCACAAUGGGGGAAACCCUGAUGGUGCGACGCCGCGUGGGGGAAUGAAGGUCUUCGGAUUGUAAACCCCUGUCAUGUGGGAGCAAAUUAAAAAGAUAGUACCACAAUAGGAAGAGACGGCUAACUCCGUGCAAGCAGCCGCGGUAAUACAGAGUCCUCAGGCCUUGUUCGGAAGCACUGGGCGUAAAGCGUGCGUAGGCGGUUUCUGAAGUGUUGUGUGAAAGGCGCGGGCCCAACCCGCGGACGGCCCAUGAUACUGCGAGACUAGAGUAAUGGAGGGGGAACCGGAAUUCGCGGUGUAGCAGUGAAAUGCGUAGAUAUCGAGAGGAACACUCGUGGCGAAGGCGGGUUCCUGGACAUUAACUGACGCUGAGGCACGAAGGCCAGGGGAGCGAAAGGGAUUAGAUACCCCAGUAGUC